rnacentral:rRNA from 1 species
GGGUUGUGAGGUUAAGCGACUAAGCGUACACGGUGGAUGCCCUGGCAGUCAGAGGCGAUGAAGGACGUGCUAAUCUGCGAUAAGCGCCGGUAAGGUGAUAUGAACCGUUAUAACCGGCGAUUUCCGAAUGGGGAAACCCAGUGUGACUCGUCACACUAUCAUUAACUGAAUCCAUAGGUUAAUGAGGCGAACCGGGGGAACUGAAACAUCUAAGUACCCCGAGGAAAAGAAAUCAACCGAGAUUCCCCCAGUAGCGGCGAGCGAACGGGGAGGAGCCCAGAGCCUGAAUCAGCAUGUGUGUUAGUGGAAGCGUCUGGAAAGGCGCGCGAUACAGGGUGACAGCCCCGUACACAAAAGCGCAUGUGCUGUGAGCUCGAUGAGUAGGGCGGGACACGUGGUAUCCUGUCUGAAUAUGGGGGGACCAUCCUCCAAGGCUAAAUACUCCUGACUGACCGAUAGUGAACCAGUACCGUGAGGGAAAGGCGAAAAGAACCCCGGCGAGGGGAGUGAAAAAGAACCUGAAACCGUGUACGUACAAGCAGUGGGAGCACAGGUUUACCUGUGUGACUGCGUACCUUUUGUA